rnacentral:rRNA from 1 species
CACGUAGGAUGCGAGCGUUAUUCGGAUUUACUGGGCGUAAAGCGCGUGUAGGCGGUUAGGAGAGUUGGAUGUGAAAGCUCCCGGCUUAACUGGGAGAGGUCGUUCAAGACAUUCUAACUAGAGUUUGGUAGAGGAAAAUGGAAUUCCGGGUGUAGUGGUGAAAUGCGUAGAUAUCCGGAGGAACACCAGUGGCGAAAGCGAUUUUCUGGACCGAUACUGACGCUCAGACGCGAAAGCUAGGGUAGCAAACGGGAUUAGAGACCCCGGUAGUCCUAGCUGUAAACGAUGUAGACUUGGCGUUGGGAGAGUAAAAUCAUCCAGUGCCGAAGCAAACGCGAUAAGUCUACCGCCUGGGGAGUACGGCCGCAAGGUUAAA